CUUGUUUCUUUGUUUAAGUAACGUUUUGGGAGAUCAGUGUAAUUGUUAGCGCCAACGGCCAAUGAUAAGAUCCGUUUCUAAAGAAACACGACAAGCUACAAAUCAACAUGUUACAAAUCAAGAAUAAAAUAAUUCCACAAUAUUCCACACGAGGUCACUGUGGAUUCAUGUCAACUUGUACCUUCGCCAACUCGUAUCCAAUAUUUACCAACUCGUCUCAAAUAUUUUAUUAUUUAAAUCCAUUA
rnacentral:lncRNA from 1 species